UACGGAGGGGGCUAGCGUUGUUCGGAAUUACUGGGCGUAAAGCGUCCGUAGGCGGCUUGCCAAGUCAGAGGUGAAAUCCUACGACUCAAUCGUAGAACUGCCUUUGAGACUGGUUCGCUUGAAGAUGGGAGAGGUUAGUGGAAUUCCGAGUGUAGAGGUGAAAUUCGUAGAUAUUCGGAAGAACACCAGUGGCGAAGGCGGCUAACUGGACCAUUCUUGACGCUGAGGGACGAAAGCGUGGGGAGCAAACAGG
rnacentral:rRNA from 1 species